UGAUGUGUUUUUUUGGAACUU
rnacentral:piRNA from 1 species